rnacentral:rRNA from 1 species
UACGAGAGGCCCAAACGUUAUUCGGAAUUACUGGGCUUAAAGAGUUCGUAGGCGGCGCAGAAAGUAGGGUGUGAAAGCCCUCGGCUCAACCGAGGAAUUGCGCUCUAAACUACUGUGCUUGAGGAAGCUAGAGGUGAGCGGAACUGAUGGUGGAGCGGUGAAAUGCGUAGAUAUCAGGAGGAACACCUGCGGUGUAGACGGCUUACUGGACCAUAACUGACGCUGAGGCACGAAAGCGUGGGUAGCAAACAGG